rnacentral:rRNA from 1 species
UACAGAGGUCUCAACCGUUGUUCGGAUUCAUUGGGCGUAAAGGGCUCGUAGGUGGCCAACUAAGUCAGACGUGAAAUCCCUCGGCUUAACCGGGGAACUGCGUCUGAUACUGGAUGGCUUGAGUUUGGGAGAGGGACGCGGAAUUCCAGGUGUAGCGGUGAAAUGCGUAGAUAUCUGGAGGAACACCGGUGGCGAAGGCGGCGUCCUGGACCAAUACUGACACUGAGUGAGCGAAAGCCAGGGGAGCAAACGGG